rnacentral:tRNA from 1 species
GCGCCCAUAGCUCAGCCGGAUAGAGCACCAGAUUCCUAAUCUGGGGGCCGUGAGUUCGAAUCUCGCUGGGCGCACCA